UUCCAUGCGCAGUGCUCCUCCCCCUCCAGUGUAUUCAACCCACGGUGUAUCUUAUCCGCUCCCCUCCUAGCGCGGCGGAGGAGGAGAGGGUGAGUGGCGGCGCCGCACUCUCCAACUUCUGCCUACACACCACCUACGCGCCGUCGUCCGUCCGGGUGGUCGGCGGCGGCUACCGCGCCCCGGAGGUGGCGUCUACUCCCUGGGCGUGCUCCUGCUGGAGCUCCUCAUGGCAAGUCCCCGACGCACGCGUCAGGGCGCCGACGACGUACGUCCUCCUUCUCUUCUUUCACGAGACGGCUCCGGGCUUCGACCAAAUCCCGCCCAACUCGCCCAGAUCGAGGCCUUCAGGCUUUUGUGGAAUCCUCGUUCAGCUCUCCGCCUCUACCAGAUCCACGCUGAGGGGCUUCGGCGCCAUCCCCCGGUGUGAUUUCCUCACGGGUCCCGGCUUGAUCGAGGCCAAAAGCUUCGGCCGUCCGUCCGCCAUGGCUGGGACCUGCGCGGAAACUGUAGAUGAAUUUAUACGAGUGGAAUCGACACUGUGGCAGGGUACGGUGGAGUCACAUUGUGCAGCCUCGGUGUCCCAAUCAGGGAUUCCUUCUAAGGAUGCAUAUAUUUUGAAGGGUGAGGGAUAAUGAUUUGGUUAAAGGCCUUCGGCCUCUUGCUUCACUGAACAUUUGUGUCCAUCGACCAAGUUGCAUAUACGGGAGAAGAUAAGCAAGUCCAAAGUGAUGUUCUAGCUGGGCCUCAACACCUUGUCCCUCUGACCACAACGCCCAACCAUGAUAUGGUCAGCAACCAAUUGUAACACUAUGCCUAGGUUCUGAUUAUAUCUACUUGAUGCAGAUCACAUGAGCAGAGGGGUUCAGCAACUCUUACUACUCCUGGCUGUGAAAGGUGAAUUCCCAACCAAGAGUCCAUAACUGACACUGAUUGAAUUGCUACACAACAUAGCCGUGGUCCAUGAAAUUCCGUUAAUUCUGCAUGCUUUGUUCUGUCAUAGCUUCUGCUUAUAAGUCAUCUCCAGUACCUGCUUAUCCAUGGUCUUUUUGAGCCAUCCAAAUUGCAAAACGCAAGUCACCAACACCAAGAAUCAGGUUCCUGCCAGAGGAACCCAAAGUAGAACAAGAGAAGGAAAACGACGGUGAAGAGGUUCUGUUGGAGAAAGGGCUGCAUCACACACUUGCCGCCAAGGCCAUGUUGUCGAGGAGCCUGUGAUUGCCGCUCCAGCUGCCUCUCGCGCCAUGGCCCAUCGCGUGGGGCGCAUUGUGAGAGUCUGCAUCAGGCUCGUGCCGCCUCUCCAGCAGUGAUGCAGCACUCUAGGUAAUAGUUAGUAUUGGUGUCAACGAGAGCAACUAGAGUCGCUAGCUGUUAUGCUAAAAGCAACAGGAUGCAUCUUCUCCAUGCAAGAAGACAAUAAGGAUAAAGCAGCAAAGAGCAGGCCGUUGGUGGUGAUGGAUAAUUUCUCUAAUCAAUUAAAUCGUAGAUGCCCUCCAGCAUUGCACACUAAGAGAUUGCAUUGCUUAGAUAUAAUGAAAGGUGACUUUAGUUUUUAAGAAAGUUGAGGUGUCGUGAUUGUUAUUUUUUUAUGCAACAAUUACCUAAGCUUGCCUGGCAAGUAUACAUUCUGAAUUGUAUGUUCAGAUGAUAUUCACAUAUUUAGACUGAAUCGUUAAAUCUAGCAUAUUUAUUUUUCUCA